GCCGGGCAUGGUGGCGCAUGCCUGUAAUCCCAGCUACUCAGGAGGCUGAGGCAGGAGAAUUGCUUGAACCCAGCAGGCAGAGGUUGCAGUGAGCUGAGAUCACGCCACUGCACUCCAGCCUGGGUGACAGAGCAAGAUUCUGUCUCAA
ensembl:misc_RNA Metazoa_SRP Metazoan signal recognition particle RNA